UGUUCCACCCACAGUUGCUCUAAAAUCGCUGCAGCUGCCUCUAGUUGCCUCCAGAUGGCGACCUAGUGCCCAUUCUCAGCUCAGAGACCCGCCGGUUGCCAGCUGCUGGGCUGAAAGAGCUCGGAGCGCCAGGGCUUAACCCGGCACAGCUCUGAGGUGGGUUUCUGGAGGAUUCGGGGAGACAGCUGCAACAAGGCACCACUCACUGCACAGUAUAAGUAUUUUCAUUUCUGAGAGCAAAGCGAAGAACUUAAGCGGGCGGCACUUGGAGUGUAAAUUGCUUUGUAGUGUUUAAAAGCAGCACGGAUCGUGGGCAGCCGAGCUGUAACAAAUCAGCAGGACUUCCAGUGAAUUCUUAACCAAGAUGUGUUUUUUCAGUCUCCAUUAAGUCCUAAUUCUAGGGACUUGAGAGCUAUAGAGAACCAUAAGCAUCCACAGGCUACUGCUCUCUUAGCCCUGGUGGUUCACAGAGGCGAUCUGUCAGGAACGUCUGAGAAAUUUCAUGAACACCAAACCAGCACUCCAAACAAUUUUAAGCAAUAAUCCUAGAAAAAGACAAUGAAAGUCACAACUCCAUGAGGCCCAACAGAGGGAAGCCACCAGGCAAGGUUUGAAAGCUCCACUCAUUUCCAGGGUAUUUACAUCAGUAACUCACCUAGCCCUACUUCAUCUGGAACUCUAGCAGAAUGUUGAACAAAAGAGAGAUCAGUGGAAAGGAAAAAGAAAGGAGAAGUACGAAGAAGACAGACUGUUGCCAGGGAAAGUAAAAUGUUCAUUUUACUCAAAGGCUUCUUUGCUGGGACAGAACACUUUUGGAGGCCCGGGUGAGACCUCUCCACCACCGUGGGUUGGUGUCCCACUAUGUCUCCUGGUGUGAGCAGCAGGGUGUAGGGGAGGUGCCCCCUGAGAAGUUCCAGGGCCCCACAUCCCAGAUGCUGGUGGGAGGGACAUGGAAGGACCACCAAUCAAGACAAAAAUUUUGGAGUCCUCAGGAAUCCUCCACUUGAAGGUGGCUGGGAUCCCCAGCUGGAUUCAUCACACCUGAGUGACGGCCUCUCCAGAACUGUGGACUCUUGAGAUAGAACCUCAGCCACUUAAGACUUAAAAGACUAAAAUGAUUCUCCUCCUUCUGUUCUUGAUUUGCCCCUGUUACUGUUUGGACAUUUGCCUAGGCUCAGGCCAUGGGUUUAAGUUCCUUCUGUCUUCUUUUUUUUUUUUGUACCGGGGAUCAAACUCAGGAUGUUGUGCUUGUGAAGCAGGUGAAGGUACCACUGAGCUAAAUCCCUGGCCCUCCUUCUGUCUUCUAAGGAGAAUGGUUUUAAAAAAAAAAAAUGUUUAAUUGGUCCCCAUGGCUCACAGCAUUGAUUUCUUUUAUUGCAGGCCCUCUUGUUCUUAUCCUGCUUGGGCUCAUGAUACCCUUAUAUAUAAUCAACCGCUUAGUUGAGUUUGUACAAGAUUGUAUCUCCUCUGUAAAGUUAAUCGUGUUAAGGUCUUCUUAUAACCUCCUUGAAACUGAUGAAGAGUCAACAGUUUCACUCGAUUUCCAAAGAAAGUGGGGAAUGAAGUUAGUAAGUUAACAAGAAACCCCCCUCCAAAUAGCCUGUGCCUGAACUUUACCCCUUUUCCUCUCCAGAUUGUUCAAAGUGGUUAAUUAACCAGCACCUAACUUGUCUUGUGGUUAAGAACAAAGGACAGGACAUGUUAUACUUAGCCAUAAUCAUAGAGAUAGAAAUUUCCUGCCAGAUCCCCCAAAUUGAAUUUUAAUCUAACCUGCAACCUGCUUCUGUACCCCUGUGCUUGCUCAAAGAGGAGAUAGUGACAUUUCAUUGUGUGAUUUUUCCCUUUAAAAACUGGGUUUACUGCUUGAUUGGUAUGAAGAAAAUGGGAGCUUAACCUCCUCCUUUGUCACUGGGUAAUUAAAGGAAUUUUAAUGUGGACAUUUUCCUGGUGUGGUCUUUUUUGCUGGGACAGCUAUAACACUGUCACAUUAGUGAUUAAGUUUCGAUUUGUGAAUGUUGAAGAGGCACGAAAUGUAACUGGACAGGGUCCUAGGAGGUUUACAAAUGAUGAUCCCCACCUAUCUGUGGAGUUAUUGCAGGUUUGCUGACUCCUAUCAUGGAAAAAGAAUUUUCAGG
ensembl:lncRNA